AUGGGUUUCCACUUUGCCGUUUCUGAUCUAGAUGACAUCAUAAAGCGCCACAAGAAAGAGCAAACCAAUGCCCAAGCGGCCGGGAACAGGCGGAGGCAGCAGAUCAAGAACAGGAGUUCGGCGUACUGGUAUGGGCGGCCCCGCUUCCGCACCUGGAUGCAGAGGAAUUUGCAAGGACCUAACCGCUUUAGAAGAGGCUUUGGACAACAACAGUACAAUAGGAGGCAAUUCAGGAAUGCUGCGCCCGGUCCCAGGAGAAGAGCAGCUGCUGCAUUAAAUGGAGUGAGCCCCUUAAAUCGCCAGGCAUCUGCUCAAGAGGGUAGCAAGAGCGACGACGUUUUUGCCAAAAGCGGUAGCAGCGGGCAGCCGGAGGCGCGGAGACGGCCACCGCCGGGCCUCAAGAGAUUCAGAGCAGCAGCUGCCAACACCCACGCCGCAGUGGGAAGCAGGCCUUUCGUGCUGAACAGGGGACCAGGCUUCCAGCAGAAGCGGAUGCAGCAGCGCUACUCCAAAGCCAACUUCCAGAGAGGGCAAAUGGAUGCAGUUGGAGAAGGGAAACAACCAAGGAUGAGAAGGUGGCAAGUGAAACCCAGCCCCGGAGCAGUCCUGACGGUUUCUGUGGCUAAUCCCCAGGCGAGCCAGACCAGCGCGCCCGGAGGCAAGCGGCCCUUCCUGAGGAGCCCCAGGCCCCCGCCGCAGGUGGCCAAGCCCCAGCCCAAGGGAGUGCUGCUGAGGUUCAACUUCCGCGCGAUGGCGAACCAGGUUUUCGGGGCUGCCAGUUAGCUUUAUCUCCUGUAAGGCGGGAGGAAAAUCCUGUAGCCUGGCUGGACAGCUUGUUCGCAAAACUGAAGGCGCCUGAGAAGACUGUUCAGCGACUACAGACUCGGCCUAAUUUUUCCCGUGCCGCUGCCCCCCUUGGUCUGUCCUAGCGCUUGCUCGGAGAGGGAGGAUGAUGCUCUGGCUCCUUGUGAGCGGUCCUGGCCGGGGGAGGACGUUUCGCUGGUGCUCCGGGCGCUCCCUGCUCCUCAGGGACGCGCAACGC
rnacentral:lncRNA from 1 species